AAAGGAAUUGACGGGGGCCCGCACAAGCGGUGGAGCAUGUGGUUUAAUUCGACGCAACGCGAAGAACCUUACCUGGGUUUGACAUGUGCAGGAUCAGUGAUGAAAGUCACUCUCCCUUCGGGGCCUGUGCACAGGUGCUGCAUGGCUGUCGUCAGCUCGUGUCGUGAGAUGUUGGGUUAAGUCCCGCAACGAGCGCAACCCUUGCCCUCUGUUGCUACCGGGUCAUGCCGGGCACUCUGAGGGGACUGCCCCGGUGAACGGGGAGGAAGGUGGGGAUGACGUCAAGUCCUCAUGGCCUUUAUGUCCAGGGCUACACACGUGCUACAAUGGUCAGGACAAUGGGUCGCUCCCUCGCAAGAGGUUGCCAAUCUCAAAAACCUGGCCCUAGUUCGGAUGGUCGGCUGCAACUCGCCGGCCUGAAGCUGGAGUCGCUAGUAAUCGGAGAUCAGCACGCUCCGGUGAAUACGUUCCCGGGCCUUGUACACACCGCCCGUCACACCACGAAAGCCGCGUGUACCAGAAGUCGCUGGGCCAACCCCUUCGGGGGAGGUAGGCGCCUAAGGUAUGCGGGG
rnacentral:rRNA from 1 species